rnacentral:tRNA from 1 species
UAUAUUUUAGUGUAUGAUGCACAAAAAGUUUUGAUCUUUUAAGGUUUAGUUUAAUUCUAAAAAAUAUAA